rnacentral:rRNA from 1 species
GGUCGGCCUACUUGGCCCGAACUGGCUGACUCUCCCUUGUUUCUGAAUCCCGGUGGUGGUUAACUCUAUCGCUGUGGACUUCAGAUCGUUUACCUUGAAAAAAUUAGAGUGUUCAAAGCGGGCGUUUGCUUGAAUACAUUAGCAUGGAAUAAUGGAAUAGGACCCUGGUUCUAUUUUGUUGAUUUUGAGGACCAGAGUAAUGAUUAAUAGGGAUAGUUGGGGGCAUUCAUAUUUAAUUGUCAGAGGUGAAAUUCUUGGAUUUAUGAAAGAUGAACUUCUGCGAAAGCAUUUGCCAAGGAUGUAUUCAUUAAUCAAGAACGAAAGUUAGGGGAUCGAAGACGAUCAGAUACCGUCGUAGUCUUAACCAUAAACUAUGCCGACUAGGGAUUGGGAGCGGUUUGUUCAUUGACCCUCUCAGCACCUUACGAGAAAUCAAAGUUUUUGGGUUCCGGGGGGAGUAUGGUCGCAAGGCUGAAACUUAAAGGAAUUUGACGGAGGGGCACCACCAGGAGUGGAGCCUGCGGCUUAAUUUGACUCAACACGGGAAAACUUACCAGGUCCAGACAUAGGAAGGAUUGACAGAUUGAGAGCUCUUUUCUUGAU